rnacentral:rRNA from 1 species
UGGGGAAUUUUGGACAAUGGGCGAAAGCCUGAUCCAGCAAUGCCGCGUGUGUGAAGAAGGCCUUCGGGUUGUAAAGCACUUUUGUCCGGAAAGAAAUCCUUGGCUCUAAUACAGUCGGGGGAUGACGGUACCGGAAGAAUAAGCACCGGCUAACUACGUGCCAGCAGCCGCGGUAAUACGUAGGGUGCAAGCGUUAAUCGGAAUUACUGGGCGUAAAGCGUGCGCAGGCGGUUUGCUAAGACCGAUGUGAAAUCCCCGGGCUCAACCUGGGAACUGCAUUGGUGACUGGCAGGCUAGAGUAUGGCAGAGGGGGGUAGAAUUCCACGUGUAGCAGUGAAAUGCGUAGAGAUGUGGAGGAAUACCGAUGGCGAAGGCAGCCCCCUGGGCCAAUACUGACGCUCAUGCACGAAAGCGUGGGGAGCAAAA